UCGCGCACAAGGCCGUGGCAGCGUGCAGUAUUUCUCCUUGAGUAAGAAACUUGACUUUUUUGGUCUCUUCCGUGUGACGAAAGUGAAAAAAAGGGACUUGAACACUUUUUUUUUUUUUUUUUGCACUAAGCUCUUGGGUGGAGGUGUAGAGCGUGAAAGCAUGACCCUUUAAUCCCUUCAACACGGGGGACGGCGCUCAACUAUUCCUGUGAAGACGAGUCCAACGCGCAGAAACACGUCAUGCUUUUGUUUUGUUAUUUAAAGAAAUAUGAAGAGACACUUGUGAUAAUGAACUAACCUCAGAUUUUGUUUUGUUGGACUGUAUUGUUAUUUUUUUCUUUUUGCAAAGAGCGAUAGAGCUGUUGAUCUUUGCUCAGCGGCCCUCUAGAAGUGUCUGUUUACAGGGCAGGAGAGCUGAGGAGUGAAAGCGGGAGCGACCUGGAUGGAAGAUGAACUCCCCGAACGUCUUCGUUGGUUCUUUACUCCUUGAGGAAAAGACACCGGAUCACCUAGCAGGUUAAUCAAAAAAGAAACAGAUGGAGAGACACCCAGAAGAAAAG
ensembl:lncRNA